GGCCACCGUUUGUUGAGUGCAAAUAUAGAUGACUGUUUUUGCCGCCUUCACUGUCGGCUUAUAAGAGUUAUCAAAUAUCACUUUGAUUAAAUUAGAGUGCUCAAAGCAAGUGUGUUACUUGGGAUAUAAAUGCAUGGAAUGAUGGAAUAUGUUGUGUUCUAUUUUGUCGGUUUUUGAACGAUGAAAUGAUUGAAAGGGAACCGUUGGGGGCAUUCGUAUUGUUGUGAGAGAGGUGAAAUUCUUAGACCACAGCAAGACGAACUACUGCGAAAGCAUUUGCCAAGAAUGUUUUCAUUGAUCAAGAACGAAAGUAGAGGUUCGAAGGCGAUCAGAUACCGCCCUAGUUCUAACCAUAAACUAUGCCAACUAGCAAUCUGCUUAUAUAUGUUCUAUGAUUAAGUAGGCGGCCACGGGAAACCAAAGUAGGGCUAUGGGGGAAGUAUGGUUGCAAAGCUGAAACUUAAAGGAAUUGACGGAAGGGCACCACCAGGAGUGGAGCCUGCGGCUUAAUUUGACUCAACACGGGAAAACUUACCUGGUCCUGACACUAGAAGGAUUGACAGAUUGAUAGCUCUUUCUUGAUUUGGUGGAUGGUGGUGCAUGGCCGUUCUUAGUUGGUGGAGUGAUUUGUCUGGUUAAUUCCGAUAACGAACGAGACUCUAGCCUAUUAAAUAACGCACAGAAUCUUGUCUUCUGUGGCGUUUCUUAAUGGGAUCAAGUG
rnacentral:rRNA from 1 species